GUUGGGGUGGCAGAGCUCGGCGAUUGCAAAAGGCCUAAGCCCUUUCUACAGAGGUUCAAUUCCUCUCCCCAACU
rnacentral:tRNA from 1 species